CACACACACACAAACACACACACAGGUACACAUACACACUGACACACAAGUACACAUACACAGGUAUACAUACACACAGAAACACUGACACACAGACAAACACAGCCAGAUACAAACACUGACACAAACACAGCCAGAUACACACACUGACACAAACACAGCCAGAUACACACAAGGAUAUAAACACAGCCAGAUACACACACACAUAUAUGUUUACAUUUACAUAUUUUAAUCUCUGCCUUCUAGCAGCUCUUGGACAGCAACUCCCAGCAACCUUGGCCAUAAUAAUGUCUCAACUCUGUUCUUAC